GGUAACUAUAACCAUAACUUUCCGUGUCCAACUUUAAUUUUCCGUUUUAUUUAAAUUUUUUUAUAACUAGCAUUUUGUUGUUAUUAGAUAAUAAAAUAUAAAUAGUACUUUAUACGUGACUUCUAUUUUUAAUUUUUUUAAAAAAUUUAAAUAAAACAAACGAUUAAAUUUGACACGAAAAAUUAUGGAUGCGCUUAAA
rfam:Oryza meridionalis cultivar OR44 (W2112) chromosome 1, whole genome shotgun sequence.